AUAGGGAUAAGAAAGUUAGGUAUCCAUGACAGCCUUGUUAUUGUUGUCGUGAGGGAUGCUGUAGUUAAUGGCUAUAUUGAUUAUUUUACUGGCACUGCCUGAAACAUAACCUAUAAUACCAUAAUACUUUUAGGCCGCGUUUUAUUUGAAGUAUUCCACUGCAUUGUAUAUUAAUAGGCCACUUCGUGCACAACUGCGCGGUUUGGUUCUCCCUCAGUUAGCUAACGUAGAUUGCUAAUAUAGAUUGCUAGCUAAUGUUUGUUAACGUUAGCAAGUUCGCUGCAAUUAAGUUCCACAUCAAAGACAACGAAGCUAGCUAGCUAGGUAACUUGCUAGGGUGUACAGGUGUUAUUGAACCGCGGGCGGCUGAAAAUGACAAACCUCUGCCAAAAGGGCAAGUGGGGCCAUGAAUCAGAGGGAAGCACGGUGAGAGAGGACACUCGGGGGGGCAUGAGGCGAUAAAAACGGAGAAAAAGAUGAUUUCGCGAUACACCAGGCGGCCGGUAACGCACAGUCUUGAGAUUCGUGGCUUAUCCCGAAGCCACCUUGACCAUCACCCUCUCCCAGAAGAGGUAGACGAUGACUUCCUCCCCCAGCACCUCCUCCAUGACCUUCAGGAAGCUGUCUCAACUUACAACAGCUCAGAGACGACGUCUGCAGCCUCUAACCGGUCAGACUCUCCAACGGUCACCACUGGAAACACAACGCGGGCCUGGUCUGGGAUCCACAGCUACACAGGGACAGGCAUCUCUACAGAGAGGAGCUCUGUCUUCUCCUGGGGCUAUGAUGAGUUUGACAAGGCGGCGUCGCGACAGGUGCAGCAAAUGUUUGAGGAGAUUGAUGAGGAGCUUUACGAGGGGCGGGGUGGGGCGCAUCUACUGGGGCUGCAAGAUGAGUGUCAUCAGUGGGCAUUCAGGUUCCCUCACUUACGGAUUCUGGGUAGUCAACUGGUGUGUCCCAGUGACGAGGGCUUUCAGUGGUACGCAAUCUCAGGGAAGGGGACCGGGACACCCGCCAGCACCACUGCAGCUGGACAGAAGGACAGCAGUAGUAGCAAGCCCCAGGAUAAGGACAAGCCCGGCCCCAGCACAGAUCUGUGUGUGCAGGGGAGAAGGGCUGUGCUGUCCAGGCCCUGUGUGGCAGUUGACCACCCCCCUGGUACUCCCAGUGGAUCCAGAGGUCAUGACAUGCCCAAGGUGAUUGAGGCUGAAGGCCUGAUGGAGGAGUACCUGGCCUUUGACAGCAGGGACCUGGAUGAUGAGUGGGAGCAGGGGUGGGUGGGGGCUGGUCGGCGGAGGUACUGCCUGCCUCCUGUGUCUCCCUAUCGCUGUCGCAGACAGGCGGCCCUGGACUUGCUCUUUGACGACGUGUGGCGAGAGCUGGUUGGCUGGAUGGAGGAGCUGGUCCGCAGGCAUUGGGAGGGCUAUGUCUCAGAUGAUGAGAAGACUGCAGUGAACUUCAGCCCAUCACAGUCUGAUGCUGAGAAUUCUUUCCUGCUUCUGUCCACACAUCCCACCCUUCUCCCCAGGCUAGGCCAGAUCAGGGUGCCCCAGCUAACAGGCAGCCUGCUACCCCAGACCACAAAAUCAAGGGUCUCAAAGCACAAGUCCAGACGGAAAUCCAAAAAGCAGAAAAAGCCAUCCACUGUAUGUAACUCUCACCCAGAGCCAAAAUGGCACCGAUCGACGCCAUCCACAGCGUCCAGUCGGGUACCAGUAGGGGCAGCGGUGACGCAUCACAACCUCAACGACCUCAUAGUGAUCCACGGCAUCCCCCUGCAGCAGAGGAACCUGGGCGUGAUGGAGAGAGCUCAGGAUCCUGAGGAGAGGGUGGUGGUGACCCAUCGGCCAGGGUCCAGUGUGAUUCCGUCCAGCAAGCCCCGUCCUCGCCGGGUGCUAGAGCAGAGCUCCUCCUCCCUGUCCCGUCCGCCCCAGUCGGCGCUACGCCGUAACCCCCCCCCACGCACCCUUCUGCCAUUGGUUCCCUGCCUGACACAGUUCAGUGCCGCCGGCUCCAUGGAGGAGGUCAUCCGUGGGACACGCCUACCCACAGCCAGUGACCGCCUGGCCUCGCCUCUGAUACCUCUGAGCAGGAACACACUCCUUCCCCCCAUCGGCACAGAAGAAGCUGAACCCACGCACUCUGGACAGCACUUCAGACCUACUCAGCGGCAUAGAGGCUUGUCCAGUCGUGCCCAUAGUGCUGUUACAGAUGAAGCUGGUUGUUUGCUUCCUCGGGAUCGGCUUCAUCAAUUGGACGUAUUCUCCCGUCCCAACACCACCCACACCUACAGGUCAGACACCCCUUACCGCCGCUCCUUCACGGUGCUGGACAACAUUGGACAGGGGCGUCCUGGCAGAGAAUCUUUGGGUACAGACUCUUUGGGCAUUGGAGUGAUGGGCAUCAGUCUGGGCAUCAGUCUGGGUAUCAGCAGUUCCUCCUUCCUGGACUCCUUCAUCCACCACCCUCUGGGCCACUCCCCCAUCAAGGAUGAGGAGGAGCCUGACACACAAGCCCCUCCCCCAGCUGUACUGGUGCCUGUGUCAGUCCCAGCACGCUCCUACAGCCGGGGGGGCUUCACAUCCCGCAGUAGCAGACCUGGGUUGUAGUCCCUUCAACCGGUUGUCACUAGUUAACACAGCCACAAAGUCUUAAUUAUCAUUAAACCCCACCCAUUUCUACAAUUUCUCUUCUUACAAUAUGAUUUUAAACCUAACCACACUGCUAACCAUAUGCCUAACUUUAAAGUGAAAAAUAAAAAGCUAUACAUUUUUUGCUAAUUUUGACUUUGGCUGUGGAAUUUGGCUUUGUGGCUGUGUUAUCAACCUCGGCCGCCUCCACCAACCACACACCUCAGCACGGCAGGAUGCAAGGCCCUGCUGCCACUCCCAACGGGGCCUUCAACAACACUUUAUAUAACAAGGAACAUUUCUACAUUGUACUGUUAGGUGAUUUUAUUUGAUGCUUUUUUUGUUUUUCUAGAGCCCUAUUUUUGUAUGUUGGAACUCUGCUUACCUGGCUGCCAAAGACAGUAACCCGUCUCAUUAAACCUACCUAUCUGUAUGUAUGUUGGAGCCUGCCUGUUACGUGAAUGCAGUAGAAGCCACGGGUAGGCCGUGAGCUCCCCUGCCUGGAUGGCUGUCUGUAUAAGGGCUGUGAUCCUGGGCUCGUCCUCCUGAGAGCAGCACAGGGCUGAGGCCAUGAUGGCGUCCAUGUUCCCCUGGUGCUGCAGGCGGAUAAAGAAAGUCAAGAAGCUGGGGAGAUACAGAGGAAGAUGGUACUGGGUGAUGCUGAUGACAGUCUUGUAAUGAUUAAGGUCUUCGGGAGCACGAUCUGGGUGAACCCUGAGCGACACCUUGUAGUAGCUGUGUCGGAUCUCUGCGUCUGUCGCCUCCUUGGAAACGCCCAGCACCCCAUAGAGGCUGGAGGUGUUGAACAGUGCUUGACACUGGUCGAGUAGCCACAUCCCGAUCUGUCAGCUUUAGGUUAAAAGGGAAAUCUGCGAUUGAAACGAUGAAAUAACACAUAUCGAAUCAUGUCGUAACCAAAAAAAGUAUUCAGCAAAUCUCAAUAUAUUUGAAUCUCUUUGAGAUUCUUCAAAGUAGCCACCCUUUGCCUUCAUGACAGUUUUGCACA